ACCGGUUCUCGUUAGAUCACCGAAGUCAAGCAUCAUUGGGCGCGGUCAGUACUUGGGUGGGUGACCACCUUGGGAACACCGCGUACCGUU
rnacentral:rRNA from 1 species